CCUGUAAGGUACAACUCAAGUUUCAAGUCGCAUUUAAACGCGGGGGUGACCCUUAGCCAUUAUGCCCUUCUUAAAGGGAAUUUUCACCGUCUCUCCCACCGGCCGACGAUGUUGUACUGGAAACCGUGGUCUCCUGUGUCCACUCGGACAGGACGCCCCCAAACCAGUUCUGUGUUUCUCUCACUCACGGAGGGCAGGUCAGGACCACGUGGCGAGGACCAAGCCCCAGCGAGUCCCGGUGAGGACGGGGCAGCCAGCAGGCGCUUCCCCACACCAGCCAGCAGGUGACAGACAAGCCAGGAGGGACGGGAAGGUGUCACCACUGACAGCCGCCAGAGACUCACAUCGACGGACACAAACGACAGGACCCCGGUUCCAAAGGAGCAAAGGAUAUAACCACGCGAUUCCCGAAGAUCUGACCCAGACGCGCAAGCACUUUGGGAAGGUGUCCACAUUGCCAAGCAGUGGAGGAAACGCAGGUGAAAAGGACAACGGAACCGGACGCACUCGGUGACCGCAGGAACGGGUUUGAUUAAAGCAGCCGGCGCUGGCGAAAAACCACAAAUAGGCGCACGCCGUGGCCCUGCCCUGGGGCCAAGCCCGCGACGCAGCACUCGUGCACACGCCAUCACCGUCCAGCAACGGGACGGUGCGGCUGGAGGUCCCUGCCCCGUGAGGGGGGCAGCCGAGGUAAGAGAUGCACGGGGGAGGAGGGCACUCAAGAUCAGGCACAUACACCACUGUGGUCACGAGUUUGUGCAAAGCUCUGUGUGACUGGGGUGAACAAACGUGCAAAUACACGACCUACACCCACGCCAGGUGUUCCUUUCCAUGCAGAAACGCGAUCAGAACGGGCUUGCUCUGCAGUGUGCCCUUUCCCUCCGCGUAGGGGCCUUUCACGGCCCGCACAGUGUUCCUUCCCACAGCGGCGGAGGCCCUGGCCCCCACGGCGUCACCGGCCCCAGGGCCCCAGGGCGCGCUUCCUGGCUGAGGGCUGAGGGCCAGCGUCCCUGGGCGACCUGGUGAUCUGCAGCUCCCUCCCUGUGUGUGUGUGUGUGUGUGUGUGUGUGUGUGCGCGCGCGCGCGCACGCGUGCGUGUAUUCUGGAUGCCAGACCCUUGGUAACUACGUGUCAAAUCUUUCUCCUAGGACGACACUCGAUUUUUAACUCGAUGGUACCUUUUCUCGCUCAAAACUUGCCCGGUUUUACACAACUGAUUUUGUUAAUCCUUCGCUUUAUGCGUUCGGGGUCUUCGACUAGCCUCGCACAGCCUUCUCUAACCCCUAAGUUACACGAGAGACCUCCGGUGUUUCCUGGCUCCUUACAGCAUCUGGAAGAUGUCCUCUUGUGAGUGCAGUGAGGGGGCACCAUUGCCCAGAGGCCUGUCGUCUGCCGCCCCGUCACUUGCCGCUGAGACUGGGCCACACCGUUCACGGGAACGCCACAGAGCAAACGGAGCCGUGUCUCGUUCGUUCAUGUCCUCUCACGUGUCCCGCGGGAGAGCCGUUGCCAGUGUCUCCGCGCGCGUGGGGGGGACCCGACGCCGGUGCGCAGGUCGUCCGCGAGCCUUCCCCCGUGCCGCCGUGUCCGGGGUCAGGAGCAGCACCCACAGCGUCUUGUCUCGGGCCGAGAGUCGGGACAGAUUUUCACAGCUUCACCAAACUGGAAGGAGCUCCCUUCUUUUCCCGGUUUCCGAGUGUUCAGGGAGCGGGGCUUACACAGCCUCAGAGGAUUCCGCGGCACUCGUUAAGGGCCCCUCCCUCUGCCUCGGAGGCGGACGCAUGGCAGACCGGCUCCCCCAGCCUCUCCUGGCCUCCCUGUUGCCGCACGAGGGAUGUGGCGCCAGGCACGCGCUCUGCACGAAGGGGUCCUUGCCGCCAUCGAGGCCUUCCUUUGAGCCCCCGGACGUGGUGGGGCCGGAGUCCGACCUCACCUGACAGGGGCCGCCUGCCCCGCACAAGACUUUACACUCCAGCUUUCAGAAUCUUUCUUUCUCCGGACAGCAGAGAAGCAGGCUUUGCUUUACGGACCACUUGGGGAAUCUUUAAACAGGAAGAAAAACGGAAUGCUACAGCCGACGCCCGUACCUCUCACCCGGACACGCCGCCUACUGACACUUCCGCACGUUUGCUUUCUCCUCGUCACCUAGCCCGCAGAGGUGCCCGCGCACACGCUCCUUCCCUCGCCCUCUACCAGUGAGCUCUUCGGACACGUCAACGCUGUCCUCCCGAGGAGCUCCCUGUGCAGACACUUAGCCGUCAGGGACGGCACCGUGUCCACAGUGGGGUUUCCCGCACGGUCUCCAGGGGGUCCCGUCCGGCAUCCCAGCCCCAGGGUCUAGGGUCCCGGCAGGAAGCGCACGGACCGCGGCAUCUGCCUCGUCUCCUCGUGGUGGGGCCGCGGCCUCCCUGGGGACGACCCUGCGAGGUCCCUGGGACCAUCCUAACCUGGUGCGUGAUCAUCUUCUACCUCGUUUCCGGCCAUCCUUCGCGGUAGCCACCCGCUCCUGCUGGACGACGGCCUCAAGGCCGAGCAGCGGACACGAGCCUCGUGACUGCCUUCCCCACGCACGGCGCCCGGGCACCACAGAGGCCGCCCCCGGGGUCAGAGCAGCCCUCCGCGCACACACCCGGGAAGGGCCGUCCUGGCGGGCGGGAGCCAACCCGUGCGCGUCCCGGAUGCACCUUCUUCCGUUCACCCCCACCGGCAAACGGGCGGCGUGGCCCCUGCUCCGAGGACAUCGGUCCCUCUGGCCGACGUAUCCUGCAAACUGCACACCUGGGCUGUGCGGCCGAAAACGUGUAACUCUCCUCAUCUUUUCUCCUCUUUUCACCGACCCUCGGUCCGGCCUGUUUGGUACUUUGUGCACGCACCAGCAGAUGCACGCGGCCCCAGGACGCCCUCACGCAGACAGGCCCUCAGGCAGGCAGCUGCCGGAAGACGCCGUGCCCCUCAGGAGAAAACGCAUAAACGUCUGAAGACCGGGCCACGUGGACGGGACCACAGACAGGCCUGUGGCCCCGGGGCACAGCGCAGCACACGGCCCGUGGGGAGCUGGCAGCACUACCUUGUCUAUGGUGAGCAUGUAGAAGUGUGUGAUGUCGUUCUCGUGUGCGUGUUUGAUCCUCGCCAUGCACUCCUCCUCGUCAAUCAGCUCACCGACGUACUCAUUCACGAACUCUCCCUGGAAGGCGGAACGGCAGACCGUGACCGUAGUAAACAACGGGGUCCGGGUGCAGGAGCCCGCGCCCGAAGCGCCCGGAGCCGGCAACCGCGCGCAGCGUCACGAUGCGGUCCGGGGCGCGUCUUCCCAAGUCCCUGGAAGUUCAGGUCUACCUCAACGACUCCAUACUCGGCUGUCAGGGAACAGUUCACCCGAGCGUCCUUCCCAAAGCGGCACCCUAACUCUCGCUUCCUGCAGCAACUGCCUCUGGGCACCCUGGCGGCACACCCCGAGCUCCCACACGGCCGGCUGCCACGGCUCGCCUUCCCUAGCAGAGUCUACACGGCGAGAGCCCGGAGGAACUGGCCGCCGAGGCGGGCAGUGGAACCAGACCCCGCAGGGGCCGUGCGCGUUUCAGAGCCGCUGCUCUCGCCCGGGAUCGGCCCUGAACCAGACCUGGGGUCUGAGGCCGCCGCCGCCCCCCAGGCCACAGCCUGGCCUCAUAAGCCAAUUCCGGCUGCCUCUCUACUUCCGGCUGCCCAGCCUAGGACAUGGGCAGGCCGUGUGUGGCCUGUGGCCUUGACGGACCACCUGGUCCCGCGCUGCCCCGGACGGAACGGCCGCCCAUCCAGGGCAGGGCUCCUUCACAGUCUUUCCUGUCAUAGAGCAACCACCAAAAUGCCAAGUGGAGGCCAAGUCAGGGGCCUGCUGAGUUUUACUUUGCUAGACAGCACGCACGUAACGUUUUACGACAUUCAACCGUAGUAACUCAGACUUUUUAAAAACCCCGUUCUUACGUGCGUGCAAAAGCGUACUAAGCAUAUCCAAGCGUAAACCGCCAGCCGGCCCGGGACUUCUUGCAAGCAAGGAAAGGGGCUCGGCACACACCUUUCUGAUGUCCCGCUUGGCGACCAGGCCCCACCCUUUGCCGUCGGUCUUGAUGAUCUUGGUCUCGGGGUACUGGCGCUUGGUGAAGCACUGAUUCUGGCAGUACUCGCCCGCGGGGCACACCUGCGGGUGGCACUCGAACAUCAGCAUCCGGUUCAGACACUCCGAGUCGAAGCCGCAGGGGUUCUCGUCGGUGGGCUUACAGUUGCACUUGGGGAUCUCAGAGAUGUCGGCCGUGUGGAUCUGGACUUUCCCAUAGGGCUUGUUCACCUGCCGGGGACACGGGGGCGCGUCAGACAAGAGAGCAAGCACCCCGGCCUCCCGCCGGUCCCCACGCUGCAGAGGAGGGUGGCGGGGGGGGGGGGGGGGGGAGGGCACGCCCGCCCCCCCCCCCCCGCCCGUCACUUCACGUCCCUCGUCCACGCUUGCCCCGCCAGGCUGCCAGAAGUCAGGCGCACAAGCACGUGCUGAGCACGGGGCAGGGUCCCUGUAGCCGGGGACCCGCAGGCAGGUGACCAGGGAGGCUCUGCCCUGGCAAACUCGCGGUUCACGGUGACAGCACAAGAGCAACCCGACCACAAAGCCACAGACAGAGGGGAAGAGGGACUGAAGCAGAGGCCAGUAAGGCGAGGGGAAACGUGGCGGAACAAAGGCCCUCCUCACUGCUGGGCCGCGACAGCGAAACACAGAAGCGCGAUCUGAAAACCCGCCUCAGGAGCCCUCAGGUCCCAAGCUGUUUGACCCAGGAGCCCCAUUUCCACGAAGUCAUCCCUGAGGAAACACUAGCCCCAGAGAACGUGUCACCUGCACACGCACACACAGGGCGCGCCGCCCGGAUCUGAGGAGCAAAGACGCGGCCUUGAGCGGCCAGAAGGCAGCUGACACACCGUGUUGAGGGGCUGCCGGGCCCCAGGCGGCAGGACACGGUGACAUCGGCUCACCCUGUGUGGCUGUGAGGAGCUCCUGGACCCCUCUCCCUCCCACCCCGUGGGGACGUGGGGACCCAGGUUCCCUGCCGGGACUGCCGGGCUCGCCGGAGGCAGCACGGCCGCCCCCGCAGUCCUUGUGCGGCAUCCACACCCUCUCCGGCGGGAACAUCGCUUUGUCUCCAGGGCUCCGGCUGACCAAGCCACGUUCCAGCCGAGCACCGGCCCGGGCUGGCCACCUCCCAUCCAAGCUCGUCCCCAGCGCCGGGUGACGACGGCGUGCCCGCCACCACCCCCCGUGCCUCACGGGCUCCCGGCUGGAGCCUCACACGAGGGCAAAACCCAAAACCGUGGAGACCCCCCGCCCCCCAGAAAGGACACACGCUGGGCAGUGGCUGCACCUGCUCUCUGCCCGUGACCUCAGGCAGCGGUCCACACGGGGGCUGCAGACAGAUGCUUGCUCACGGCAGCCCUCUUACCCACUGCGGCCGGAGGGCCCACCCACGGUCCCCGCAGUGACCCCUGACCCGGCCCCCCACCCCCGUCACCUUAAUGUGCUUGUACGGCGGGGGCUUGCGCUCACUCUCCUGCGUUUCUCUGGCUUCCCUUUGAAGUUUGAUUUCACGAAAACGAGCUUCAGCUUCCUGCAGUGCUAAAAAGUCCACGAAAUAUGAGCGUGAGUAAGAGGUUUAGUGAAUUCACACCUCCACCUACAGGCUCUGCGUCUCAACGGCCGACGCAAGCCUCCGUGUCCCGCCAAGUGCGGUUACCAGUCUCCGGGAGGCUCUGGGGUGUGCACGCUGUUCAGGGCGGGCGCUUUAAAUGCCGCGAGGGUUUUCCACCCAAGAUGCUCAGAGAGCGCCGGGCCGAGGAGGCCUGGGAGGCGCUGCGCUGUGCCACCUGCCACCAGGAAGGCCCAGGGCGGGUUUCUCUGGGAGGGUGAUG